rnacentral:rRNA from 1 species
AAAAGACUGAGGAGAACCCUCUUUAAUCUAAGUUCACUGAUUAUCUUGAGUGCUGAUGGCGGUUUUUGAAUUUUUGAAGGAAGGGUGAAAUUGUUGAUAUUGAAAGACAUUCGAUAGCGAAAGCAAUAACCGAGUCGGUUCUGACACUAGGUACUAAAGUAUGGGGAUAAAGAGGAUUAGAGACCUCGUAGUCCAUACCUUAAACAAUGAGUAUUCAACAUCUUUUAGUAUUAAUAUACUAUCUGGGGUUUACAGCUAACGCGUGAAAUACCGCCUGGGGAAUGUGGCCGCAAGGUUAAACUCAAAGGAAUUGACGGAGACUUAUACAAGG